rnacentral:ncRNA from 1 species
UAUGAAUCAAUGACGAGAAGAGUAGGAUAUGUGCCUUGUCCCGCAGAGAGUCGACGGUUGGUGGAAGUCGAUGACGGGUUUAUCUGAAAAUCAUCUCUGAGAUGUAUAGCUGAACCGUAAAAGUAAGCUGUACCGGAAUGUCCGCCGUUAUUAUGGAACACGUACUCAAAAAUGGUGCGUCGAUCGAGAGCCGCAGUUUCAAUUUCACAAUUGCGGAAGUAGGGUGGUAUCGCGAGCUAACUCGUCCCUAUU